rnacentral:misc_RNA from 1 species
UUUCCGUAGGUGAACCUGCGGAAGGAUCAUUAUCGUCUCAUUUUCUGCAAAGAGAAUAUUACAAAAAAACAAAAACCACAUGUGAACGAAAAUACACAUUUUCAAACCCUUUCCAAAAACAAAACAAAAACAAAAAAAACAAACAAGAACACAACUUCUAACAACGGAUGUCUUGGCUCUCACAUCGAUGAAGAACGCAGC